rnacentral:rRNA from 1 species
GACGAACGCUGGCGGCGUGCUUAACACAUGCAAGUCGAACGGAAAGGCCCUGCUUUUGUGGGGUGCUCGAGUGGCGAACGGGUGAGUAACACGUGAGUAACCUGCCCUUGACUUUGGGAUAACUUCAGGAAACUGGGGCUAAUACCGGAUAGGAGCUCCUGCUGCAUGGUGGGGGUUGGAAAGUUUCGGCGGUUGGGGAUGGACUCGCGGCUUAUCAGCUUGUUGGUGGGGUAGUGGCUUACCAAGGCUUUGACGGGUAGCCGGCCUGAGAGGGUGACCGGCCACAUUGGGACUGAGAUACGGCCCAGACUCCUACGGGAGGCAACAGUGGGGAAUAUUGCACAAUGGGCGGAAGCCUGAUGCAGCAACGCCGCGUGCGGGAUGACGGCCUUCGGGUUGUAAACCGCUUUCGCCUGUGACGAAGCGUGAGUGGCGGUAAUGGGUAAAGAAGCACCGGCUAACUACGU